rnacentral:misc_RNA from 1 species
AUGUGGAUGUGUUGCAAAAAAUAUCAGGAUGGUGGACUUCAAAAAGGUUUUGGUUUCUUUAAAGGACUAUGAAGCAUUAAGGGAAAGGACUACCACUGGGGAUCCCAAUCCUACCCAGGUUCAUGCGAGUUUAGGUGUAGAUCCUGAUGCUGUUGCUGCUAUCAGAAGGCAACGGCUAAGUGAGAUUUCAAUGUGGUUUAGUCCACUCGGUAACAGUGAUCACAAUAAUUCUAAUGCAGUUUCACAGGUUGUUUCUGAACAACCUUUGAAUGCUGUCACUGAAGAUAUUGUCCCUCCUGAGAAUCUUGCAACCAAAUGGGCUGUGGAAGGUACUGGAAUUUUGCUUGCUACUGGGCUGCUGACUGUUACUUUAGCAUGGCUCAUUGCUCCCCAUGUUGGAAAGAAAACUGCAAGAAGUGGUCUUCACAUUCUCCUUGGAGGCGUCUGUGCUUUAACAGUUGUGAUCUUCUUUCGCUUUACUGUGCUCACUCGAAUCAAAUAUGGACCUGCACGAUACUGGGCUAUCUUAUUCGUCUUCUGGUUUCUUGUAUUUGGUAUAUGGGCUUCACGAACCCACGGUGCACAUACAACCUAAUUUCUUUGUACAUCAUUGUGGCAUGCAAACUUAUUCUAUGUUUGGAUAGAUUGUUUGGGUAUGUUAAAUGAAAAUGGAUUUGGAUUCAUCCAAAUCCCAAAUGUAUAAGAAAGCUUAAAAUAACUAGACUGAACUCGUUAUUUCAAAUCCGGUUCUCGCAAUGGAAUUCUCAUGAUAGAAGCAGAAACCUCUGGUUGCUGCCUCUUGCUCCAGGUUUCUACCUCUCUCCAUCUCGUCACUAUCCGCUUUCUUUCCAUCUUCCCAUUGAUACCCCUCUCUCACGUUGUUGCUACCCUCUUUCUCUCUCUCUCCUUCGGUGCCUCUCUGUCUCUUGCCCUUGCUCCAGG